GCCCCUAUUUAGACUGCAGCCCUUUCCUGUAUACUCCAAUGUCUUUAUGCCCAGCAGGUCGUUUGACUAGGAUAAACAGAUUGACAUACAUAUAUCCAGGAAGGUUGGUUCUUUGACUGUACCGGAUUCUACCUUCUCACAAGCCUCUCUGUUUUUCAGAUCUAAUCUCUCCCUCAUGAAAACCGCCAAGGCACUGCACUGAAUAUGAGAUGACUCUAGCCACUGUGUGGUGGUGGUACACAGGCACCUAUUUUAGCAAUAUAAGCUGUUUCUGGUGACAGAGGCUUUGAGUGCAACUCAUAGGUCAUUGUAAAUUAUCAAAGGGAGGCAGAAAAUAUUGCAAGUGCAUUCACUGUGUCUUUACCGAGCUAAUGUGGUCCUGUGUUUGUUUCACUCUCAUCAUCUCAGGUGUCUUUCCGAUAGCCGUUCCUGGUGAGACAUCCUCUUUAUAUAAAACCUGGGCAUUCAGAAUCAGGACAGUGUUAACACAGAAGAAAAGAAAACCCAGCAGUUCCUGGAGAAAGACUAGGACACAUGGCUUUUGUGAAAACAAGACACUAGACGAUGUUCCCAGGGGUUUUCGCCAUGAACCUUGCCAUGGGUGAG
rnacentral:lncRNA from 1 species